AUGUUCACUAUAGGAAAUUAAGCUUUUAGCGGCGUUUGGAUCGAAAACGCCACAAAGGUUAUACAUUAGUGGCGCAAAUUGAAAAACGCCGCAAAAGGUAAAGCAUAAGUGGUGUUUUCUCAUAAACGCCGUAAAAAGUUAGAACAACAGUGGCAUUUUUCUCAUGGACGCGACAAAAGGUUAGAACUAUAGCGACAUUUUCUCAUAAACGCCGCAAAAGGUAAGCAAUAGUGGCAUUUUUUCAUAAAUGCCAUGAAUAUUUAUUAAAUUUGAUUGAAACGGCGGCAUUUUGUUAGCCCCAAAGUCCCCUAAUUUUUCCCCAAAUUAGUUUUCCCGAAAUCCCUACGUUCUUUUCCCAAAUCCCUUUCUUUCUUCCCCAAUUUCUUUUCCCCAAAUCAAUUCCCCUCCCUAAAAUCCCCAAGUUUUUCCUCUAAUCCCUUCCUUUUUUUCCCAAUUUCUUUUCCCCAAAUCAGUUACCCUCCCCAUAAUCCCUAAGCUUUUUGCCAAAUCCCUUUCUUUUUUCCCAACUUCUUUUACCCAAAUCAGUUCUCCUCCUCGAAAUCCCUAACUUUUUCCCCAAAUCCCCUCCUUUUUUCCCCAAUGUUUGUUGCAUUGCCAUCGACAGUCCUCUGCUUCAUCGCCAUAAACAGCAACAAAAAAUUUCUCAUCACCGUUCUCUUCGCCGAAACCAAAAAAUUCUGUUAUUGUUGAAUAGGCAAACGAAGUUGUCUAUGUUUGCGGGGCCCGGGUUAUGCAUGUGAAUGUUUGACAAAAUGACAGUAAGGAAAUUUGGGUUUCUUUGAAUGAGGGGAAAAAUGGUGAUUUGCUGACUGCGUGGGGGUAAAGAUUACAUUGAUGUUGGACUAUCCUUUUUUACGCUGUUUGCUGGUUUAGUGAAGUAUGCCAGUGAAGUUUGCACUUAUUUUGUAGUAACUAAUACAAAAAGAGCUCUGCACUUAUUUUGUUAUUUGAGUAGCCAAAAUUUGAAAAAAAAAUUAUUGUUACUUUACACAAAUAUUUCAAAUAGUUUGCCAAGCACAUAUAUAAAAGAAGCAGUUAACUUCUUCA